rnacentral:rRNA from 1 species
UACAGAAGGUGCGAGCGUUAAUCGGAAUUACUGGGCGUAAAGGGUGCGUAGGUGGUUUUGUAAGUUAAGUGUGAAAGUCCUGGGCUUAACCUGGGGAUUGCGCCUAAUACUGCAAAGCUAGAGUACUGUAGAGGAAAGUGGAAUUUCCAGUGUAGCGGUGAAAUGCGUAGAUAUUGGAAGGAACAUCAGUGGCGAAGGCGACUUUCUGGACAGAUACUGACACUGAGGCACGAAAGCGUGGGGAGCAAACAGG